AAACAUCCUUCUUUAUCAGUUUUGUUUUUGUUUUUGUUUUUUUAUUUUUUGUUUUUUUAUUUUUCGAGAUGGAGUCUUUCUUUGUCACCCAGGCUGGAGUGCAGUGGCACAAUCUCAGCUUACUUCAACCUCUGCCUCCCGGGUUCAAGUAAUUCUCCUGCCUCAGUCUCCCAAGUAGCUGGGACUGCAGGCACACAUCACCAUACCUGGCUAAUUUUUGUAUUUUUAGUAGAGACAGGGUUUUGCCUUGUUGGCCAGGCUGGUCUUGAACUCCUGACCUCAGGUGAUCCACCUGCCUUGGCCUCCCAAAGUGCUGGGAUUACAGUGUGAGCCACCGUGCCCGGCACAUCCGUCUUACUUUAAAAUGCAGUUAAGGAAAAGGCAGCAA
rnacentral:lncRNA from 1 species